GGUUUCCGUAGGUGAACCUGCGGAAGGAUCAUUAUUGAAAUAAACCUGAUGAGUUGCUGCUGGUUCUCUAGGGAGCAUGUGCACACUUGUCAUCUUUAUAUCUCCACCUGUGCACCUUUUGUAGGCCUGGAUAUCUCUCUGAGUGCUAGCCACUCAGGUUUGAGGAUUGAUUAUCAACCUUUCCUUACAUUUCUAGGUCUAUGUUUCUUUAUAAUACACUCCAAUGUAUGUUUUAGAACGUAGUCAAAUGGGCCUUGGUUGCCUAUAAAAAACUAUACAACUUUCAGCAACGGAUCUCUUGGCUCUCGCAUCGAUGAAGAACGCAGCGAAAUGCGAUAAGUAAUGUGAAUUGCAGAAUUCAGUGAAUCAUCGAAUCUUUGAACGCACCUUGCGCUCCUUGGUAUUCCGAGGAGCAUGCCUGUUUGAGUGUCAUUAAUAUAUAUCAACCUCUUGAUGAGUGGUUGGAUGUGGGGCGUUGCUGGCCUUCAAAGGUCAGCUCCCCUGAAAUGCAUUAGCGGAACAAUUUGUGGACCGUUCAUUGGUGUGAUAAUUAUCUACGCUAUUGACGGUGAAGCAGUUCAGCUUCUAACAAGACUUUUCAUUAAUGUGACCUCAAAUCAGGUAGGACUACCCGCUGAACUUAAGCAUAUCAAUAAGCGGAGGAAAAGAAACUAACAAGGAUUCCCCUAGUAACUGCGAGUGAAGCGGGAAAAGCUCAAAUUUAAAAUCUGUCAGUCCUUUGGCUGUCCGAGUUGUAAUCUAGAGAAGUGUUAUCCGCGCUGGACCGUGUACAAGUCUCCUGGAAUGGAGCGUCAUAGAGGGUGAGAAUCCCGUCUUUGACACGGACUGCCAGGGCUUUGUGAUGCGCUCUCAAAGAGUCGAGUUGUUUGGGAAUGCAGCUCAAAAUGGGUGGUAAAUUCCAUCUAAAGCUAAAUAUUGGCGAGAGACCGAUAGCGAACAAGUACCGUGAGGGAAAGAUGAAAAGAACUUUGGAAAGAGAGUUAAACAGUACGUGAAAUUGCUGAAAGGGAAACGCUUGAAGUCAGUCGCGUUGUCCAGGGAUCAACCUUGCUUUUGCUUGGUGUACUUUCUGGUCGACGGGUCAGCAUCAAUUUUGACUGUUGGAAAAAGGUCAAGGGAAUGUAGCAUCUUUGGAUGUGUUAUAGCCCUUGGUUGUAUACAAUGGUUGAGAUUGAGGAACUCAGCAUGCCGCAAGGCCGAGUAACCUGUUUACUACGUUACAUGCUUAGGAUGCUGG
rnacentral:rRNA from 1 species